rfam:Geodermatophilus nigrescens strain DSM 45408 genome assembly, contig: Ga0131184_104
GGCGCCAUGUGCGGGAGCUCGGGGCAACCGGGCUGAGAGGGCGGCUGAGCGCGCCGCCGACCGCUGGAACCUGACCGGGUAAUGCCGGCGUAGGGAGCAGCCAUGAGCACGUC